UACGUAGGGUCCGAGCGUUGUCCGGAGUUACUGGGCGUAAAGCGCGCGCAGGCGGCGGUGUAAGCAUGGCGUGAAAGCCCCAGGCUCAACCUGGGAGGGUCGUCGUGGACUGCACCGCUUGAGGGCGGUAGGGGCUGGUGGAAUGCCUGGUGUAGUGGUGAAAUGCGUAGAGAUCAGGCGGAACACCCGUGGCGAAGGCGGCCAGCUGGGCCGUCCCUGACGCUGAGGCGCGAAGGCGUGGGGGAGCGAACGGG
rnacentral:rRNA from 1 species